UUUUCUUUAGUAUAAAAAGUAUAUUUAACUUCCAAUUAAAAGGUUUAACUUAAAGAAAAA
rnacentral:tRNA from 1 species